UUAUUUUAAGCCCUAAACUAAAAUUUGGAGGGAACCCAAACAGAGAGUAAACACCCUGUUUUUUGCAAGUUUCAGAAUCGGCAACAUCCCCUCUUGUUCUUGUUGCUUGGGUCUCUCUUGGUUUGCUAGAAUAGAUAGGGCAUCACCGCUCUUUGCUAGGAUAGGAGAAGGACAGGCAUUAAAGCCCGAGAACAAAUGCUUCAAGGCUAUACCUCCUUUGUCCCAAUCGGCCAUUACCAGUAGCAGAAGAUUACCCAACUAUAGGACCCCAGUCAUCUUCUUCCCAUCCCAUAGUUUCUGUCCCUUCAUCCCCGCCCAGUCGCUAGGCACCUGCGAAGGAAUUGAGCUUUUUUAUUCAACAGAGCAUGUUUCGUUAACUCUCUUUACACACUUAUAUUCAAUAUGUAUGCCUGUUUCUAUUUCUUUUCAUCUCCAUUUAUAGGGAAGACUAUUAAACCAAGCUACUCUAGACUGUUGUUGGUGAAGUUAGAGCCUCUAGACUGUUGUUGUUCUUGGAUGAGCCCUAAGAGGCUUUCAGUUUACUAGGAUUGCCAAUGAAGUAUUAGUUCUCAAGUGACAUUUUUUUUUUUUCAGGAGGUAAAAGGAAUAUAUAAGAGGAAUGGGCACUAGGGAAUAGCUGUAGUUGUUGGAAAAAUUCCACUGUAAGGCAAAAUGGUAUAGUGAAGGAAGAUAAAGUGAACUUUCCAAGUGUAGCUUAUGUUUGGAGAGUAUCAUUGCCCGGUGCUAAAUAAAGUUUUCACUGAAUUUACUGACAUUGUUGCUAUCAGGACUACAGCGAACGUGUUCUAUUAUGACGCAAUCAAAGAAUUAAACAUCAAGACGAAGAAUUGGAAAGAGCUUCUAACUGAUGAACCUUUCACUAAGGAAGACCUUAUAACA